rnacentral:rRNA from 1 species
UUGUUUUGUUUCGGGGGUCGUGAAGGCUCUACUUGUGAGUAUUUGCGCUCGAAAGGGUUAUGAUGAGUAUUAAACAAUCAGACAUAGUACGAUAAGGUUGUAUGUCUAAAGGGAAACAGCCCAGAACAAGAGUUAAUAAGGUUCCAAAAUUAUUGUUAAGUGAAAAUAAGGUAGUAUUUUUCCAAUACGGCCAGGAAAUAGGCUUAGAAGCGGCCAUUUUUUGAAGACCUCGUAACAGAGCACUGGUUAAGUAAACUAUUUAAACAGUUUAUAUUGAAAAAAGCACCGAAAAUUUUACGGAUCUAAACAAUAUACCGAGACCUUGUCCAUAUGUAUAUAAUUGCGUAUGCUUAUGGGGUAGCGGAACAUUGGGUAAAUCUCAGAUUUUUUCUUUUUAAGACUUAAGAGUAGAUAACCCAAGUGAUAAUGCUGACAUGAGUAACGAAAAAGGGAAAUUAUCCCUCGCCUAAAGCUUAUGGUAUUUAGUUAAAGUAACGGCCUCUAAGUUUAUGAACCUAAAGGACUAAACGAUGAGAAAAUCUGAACCAUUACAGAGGAAAAAAAAAAAAAAUAUGUAAAAGAAAGAAAUAUUCCAAUGGGGUAUUUUAUUUUUAAGAUAAAUAACCUUAGGUACAAAUUAUUUUUUUUGUGCUAGUGUAUAGGGUUCUGGAAAAAUGUAUUUGGUGACCGGGAGGACGGCUAUUAACCGUAGGAAAUAAGAAAACAGUACCUCCCGUGUAGCUUUAUUUUUUUUUUAUAAAAAACAGAGACCGU